rnacentral:rRNA from 1 species
AGCGAACGUUGGCGGCGUGGCUCAGGCAUGCAAGUCGUACGCGAAAGGGAGCAAUCCCGAGUAGAGUGGCGAACGGGUGAGUAAUCCAUCGAUGACCUGCCUUCGUGUGGGGGAUAGCCGGAAGAAAUUCCGGGUAAUACCGCAUGACAUCUUCGUGUCGCAUGGCAUGGAGAUCAAAGCCUUCGGGCGCAUGGAGAGGGAUUGAUGGCCUAUCAGCUGGUUGGUGAGGUAACGGCUUACCAAGGCGAUGACGGGUAGCGGGACUGAGAGGUUGGUCCGCCACACCGGAACUGAGACACAGUCCGGACACCUACGGGUGGCUGCAGUCGAGAAUCUUCGGCAAUGGACGCAAGUCUGACCGAGCGACGCCGCGUGCGGGAGGAAGGCCUCCGGGUCGUAAACCGCUGUCAGGGGGUAUGAAUAACCGUGUAACUCACGGGAUGACGUCAACCCCGGAGGAAGCCCCGGCUAAACUCGUGCCAGCAGCCGCGGUAAGACGG